CAGCUUCCAUGUUGUGAGUUGUUCUCUGGAGAGAUCCACAUGGCAAGAAAUUGAAGGAGGCCUUUGAUUGAAGAACUGAAUCUUGCCAACUACAUCAGUGAGCUUAUGAAGUGAAGUGGGUGUGCCUGGGAUCACACACAGCUGCUGAAAGAAGGUCUCAAGAGCCACAGAUGUCUUGGAUAUUUCUGUAUUUCAGACUCUACUAUCCAGACACCAAAAGAAGAAAUGAUUAACCCUGGAGGCUGCCUCGGUCUAGGUGAAAAAAUGAUUGCACUGUGGUCGUACAUAUAAAGUAGAACUCAGGAUUAAGAAACUCACUCAAAACUGCUCAACUACAUGGAAACUGAACAACCUGCUCCUGAAUGACUACUGGGUACAUAAUGAAAUGAAGGCAGAAAUAAAGAUGUUCUUUGAAACCAACAAGAACAAAGACACAACAUACCAGAAUCUCUGGGAAACAUUCAAAGCAGUGUGUAGAGGGAAAUUUAUAGCAUUAAAUGCCCACAAGAGAAAGCAGGAAAGAUCUAAAAUUGACACCCUAACAUCACAAUUAAAAGAACUAGAGAAGCAAGAGGCAACACAUUCAAAAGCUAGCAGAAGGCAAGAAAUAACUAAAAUCAGAGCAGAACUGAAGGAAAUAGAGACACACAAGAACCCUUCAAAAAAUCAAUGAAUUCAGGGGCUGGUUUUUUGAAAAGAUCAAUAAAGUUGAUAGACCGCUAGCAAGAUUAAUAAAGAAGAAAAAAAGAGAGAAGAAUCAAAUAGACGCAAUAAAAAAUGACAAACGGGAUAUCACCACCAAUCCCUCAGAAAUAAAAACUACCGUCAGAGAAUACUACAAACAUCUCUACGCAAAUAAACUAGAAAAUCUAGAAGAAAUGGAUAAAUUCCUCGACAUACACACUCUCCCAAGACUAAACCAGGAAGAAGUUGAAUCUCUGAAUACACCAAUAGCAGGCUCUGAAAUUGAGGCAAUAAUUAAUAGCUUACCAAUGAAAAAAAAGUCCAGGACCAGAUGGAUUCACAGCCAGAGGUGCAAGGAGGAGCUGGUACCAUUCCUUCUGAAACUAUUCCAAUCAAUAGAAAAAGAGGGAAUCCUCCCUAAUUCAUUUGAUGAGGCCAGCAUCAUCCUGAUACCAAAGGCUGUCAGAGACACAACCAAAAAACAGAAUUUUAGACCAAUAUCCUUGAUGAACAUUGAUGCAAAAAUCCUCAAUAAAAUACUGGCAAACCGAAUCCAGCAACACCUCAAAAAGCUUAUCUACCAUGAUUAAGUGGGCUUCAUCCCUGGGAUGCAAGGCUGGUUCAACAUACGAAAAUCAAUAAACGUAAUCCAGCAUAUAAACAGAACCAAAGACAAAAACCACAUGAUUAUCUCAAUAGACGCAGAAAAGGCCUUUGACAAAAUUCAGCAACCCUUCGUGCUAAAAACUCUCAAUAAAUUAGGUACAAAACUCUCAAUAAAUUAGGUACUGAUGGGACUUAUUUCAAAAUAAUAAGAGCUAUCUAUGACAAACCCACAGCCAUAUCAUACUGAAUGGACAAAAACUGGAAGCAUACCCUUAGAAAACUGGCACAAGACAGGGAUGCCCUCUCUCACCACUCCUAUUCAACAUAGUGUUGGAAGUUCUGGCCAGGGCAAUCAGGCAGGAGAAGGGAAUAAAAGGUAUUCAAUUAGGAAAAGAGGAAGUCAAAUUGUCCCUGUUUGCAGAUGACAUGAUUGUAUAUCUAGAAAACCCCAUCGUCUCAGCCCAAAAUCUCCUUAAGCUGAUAAGCAACUUCAGCAAAGUCUCAGGAUACAAAAUCAAUGUGCAAAAAUCACAAGCAUUCUUAUACACCAAUAACAGACAAACAGCAUGCCAAAUCAUGAGUGAACUCCUAUUCACAACUGCUUCAAAGAGAAGAAAAUACCUAGGAAUCCAACUUACAAGGGAGGUGAAGGACCCCUUCAAGGAGAACUACAAACCACUGCUCAAUGAAAUAAAAGAGGAUACAAAUGGAAGAACAUUCCAUGCUCAUGGACAGGAAGAAUCAAUAUCGUGAAAAUGGCCAUACUGCCCAAGGUAAUUUAUAGAUUCAAUGCCAUCCCCAUCAAGCUACAAAUGACUUUCUUCACAGAAUUGGAAAAAAGCACUUUAAAGUUCAUAUGGAACCAAAAAAGAGCCCACAUUGCCAAGUCAAUCCUAAGCCAAAAGAACAAAGCUGGAGGCAUCACGCUACCUGACUUCAAACUAUAAUACAAGGCUACAGUAACAAAAACAGCAUGGUACUGGUACCAAAACACAGAUAUAGAUCAAAGGAACAGAACAGAGCCCUCAGAAAUAAUGCCACAUAUCUACAACUAUCUGAUCUUUGACAAACCUGACAA